AGAUUGAACGCUGGCGGCAGGCCUAACACAUGCAAGUCGAGCGGCAGCACGGGUACUUGUACCUGGUGGCGAGCGGCGGACGGGUGAGUAAUGCCUAGGAAUCUGCCUGGUAGUGGGGGAUAACGCUCGGAAACGGACGCUAAUACCGCAUACGUCCUACGGGAGAAAGCAGGGGACCUUCGGGCCUUGCGCUAUCAGAUGAGCCUAGGUCGGAUUAGCUAGUUGGUGGGGUAAUGGCUCACCAAGGCGACGAUCCGUAACUGGUCUGAGAGGAUGAUCAGUCACACUGGAACUGAGACACGGUCCAGACUCCUACGGGAGGCAGCAGUGGGGAAUAGUUGGACAAUGGGCGCGAAGCCUGAUCCAGCAAUCGCCGCGUGAGUGAUGAAGGCCUUAGGGUUGUAAAGUCUUCUUUUACCCGAGUAUGAAUAA
rnacentral:rRNA from 1 species